UACAGAGGUCCCAAGCGUUGUUCGGAUUCACUGGGCGUAAAGUGUGCGUAGGUGGUCGGGUAAGUCUGAGGUGAAAUCUCCGAGCUCAACUCGGAAACUGCCUUGGAUACUAUUCGGCUAGAGGGUUGGAGGGGGGACUGGAAUUCUCGGUGUAGCAGUGAAAUGCGCAGAUAUCAGGAGGAACACCGGUGGCGAAGGCGGGUCUCUGGGCCGAUACUGACGCUGAGGAGCGAAAGCGUGGGGAGCGAACAGG
rnacentral:rRNA from 1 species